rnacentral:rRNA from 1 species
CAACCUCAACUCAUAUGGGACUACCCCCUGAAUUUAAGCAUAUUAAUUAGGGGAGGAAAAGAAACUAACAAGGAUUUUCUUAGUAGCGGCGAGCGAAAAGAAAACAGUUCAGCACUAAGUCACUUUGUCUUUAUGGCAAAUGUGAGAUGCAGUGUAUGGAAUGUCUAAAUUCUAAUAUGAGAAAUUAACGAUUUAAGUCCUUCUUAAAUGAGGCCAUUUACCCAUAGAGGGUGCCAGGCCCGUAUAACGUUAAUGAUUAUUAGAAGGCAUUUCCAAAGAGUCGUGUUGCUUGAUAGUGCAGCACUAAGUGGGUGGUAAACUCCAUCUAAAACUAAAUAUAACCAUGAGACCGAUAGUAAACAAGUACCGUGAGGGAAAGUUGAAAAGAACUCUGAAUAGAGAGUUAAAUAGUACGUGAAACUGCUUAGAGGUUAAGCCCGAUGAACCUGAAUAUCCAUUAUAGAAAAUUCAUCAUUAAAAUUGUAAUAUAAUUAAUUUUAAUAUUAUAAUGAUAGUGUGCAUUUUUUCUAUAUAAGGACAUUGUAAUCUAUUAAUAUUAAAUAACACAAAAAAAUUUAUCAAAAAAUUAUAAACUUGUAGUUUAUUCAAAUUAUUUUACUUUAUUGUAUUAUAACAUAGAAUAAGUGUUUAUUUGAUUUGAUAAAGUAUUGAUAGAUUUAAAAUAUACAAUGCAAUAAUUAUUUAAAAUUAUAUAAUGGCAUAUAUAUGAAUUUAUAUAUGUUUAUUAUAUGCAUUUGUAUGAUUAACAAUGCGAAAGAUUCAGGAUACCUUCGGGACCCGUCUUGAAACACGGACCAAGGGGUCUAACAUAUAUGCAAGUCAUUGGGAUAAUAUUAUUAUAAACCUAAUGGCAUAAUUAACUUGACUUGAUUUUAAAUGGGAUUAGUUUUUAAUUCUAUAUAUAUAGUUUUAUUAACACAAUCCCGGGGCGUUCUAUAUAGUUAUGUAUAAUGAUAUUUUUUAUAAAUAUUAUUUAUAUCUCUAACUGGAACGUACCUUGAGCAUAUAUGCUGUGACCCGAAAGAUGGUGAAC